UACGAAGGGGGCAAGCGUUGUUCGGAAUUACUGGGCGUAAAGCGUACGUAGGCGGAUUGUUAAGUGAGGGGUGAAAUCCCGAGGCUCAACCUCGGAACUGCCUUUCAUACUGGCAAUCUUGAGUCCGGGAGAGGUGAGUGGAACUCCUAGUGUAGAGGUGAAAUUCGUAGAUAUUAGGAAGAACACCAGUGGCGAAGGCGGCUCACUGGCCCGGAACUGACGCUGAGGUACGAAAGCGUGGGGAGCAAACAGG
rnacentral:rRNA from 1 species